AAGACGGUAGGUAGGGCCGGGAUGGACGGAUCACCUGUGUACUGGUUGUCGCGCCAGCGGCAAUGCCGGGUAGUUAAGGAAGGGAUUAGCGCUGAAAGCAUUAAGCGCGAAGCCCACCUUAAGAUUAGGUUUCCCUUUGCAAGAAUAAGACCCCUGGAAGACCACCAGGUAGAUAGGCCGGGUGUGUAAGCACAUAUGUGUUUAGCUGGCCGGAACUAAUAGGUCGA
rnacentral:ncRNA from 1 species